rnacentral:lncRNA from 1 species
ACUCACCCGAACCGCGCCCCCCGCCCGCGGACGAGCGCACGUGAGCGCGCGCCGCGCUGUUUUCUAAGAUUAGCUCGGCGGCUUCGGUGGGGUCGCGCGAGCUUGGGUGUUGUAUUAGUCAGCUUGGGCCGCUGUAGCAAGAUGCCACGGCCUGGGUGGCUUGAACAACAGAUCUUUCUUCUUCUACGGUUUUGGAGACUGGAUGUCCAAGACUCAGGGGCCACAAAGUUGUUUGCUGAUGAGUUUCUGCAUUCAGAAUCCAGACACAAGCUCUCCACGGGGAAGUACAUGCACUGUGCUUACUUUAAGGGGAGAGAGUGUCCAUCAUCUCACACCCAGGAGAUCUACGGUAACCACCAUGUCCGCGACUUAGUUGUUGGAAGAGUCACCUCUGUAGUCCUCCAAGGCAGCAUGGUGCCUGAGAGGUAAGGUGCCCCGCUUUGCUCGGUAUCCUAGUGGAAAGGCACCUGCUCAGAAAACUGCCAGACUCCUCUUCUCCCAGGGAGAAUUCUGUGGUCCAGGGGAAUCCCCUUCUGAAAGAGGGUCUGCUUAGAUUUGUCAGGGAAAGUCGUUAAGCAACGCAAACAGCAGAAAUGAGCCCCAAACCAAAGACCAUAAAGAAGACUGAUGACGACACUGGAAGGAGAGGCAAUUCUGUCUACCCAGCAGGCACCGAUCUCACCUCCAAUCAGAAGCCUGGAGUCAAAGCUUGUCUCUGGUACAGACUGGCUGUGUGGCUUUGGGAAGCUUACCCAACCUCUCUGAUUCUCCAAAGUUGUGCUUUGUAAAAUAAGCAUAAUGAUGCCAGUCUUCUGGUAUUAAGGAUUACAUUCGUAUGAGUUUCACAAAAUGGAAAAUGCCUUGUGAUUAUGGAGCUGAUUAUAAAUGUACUGCCUAAAGUAAGCAUUGAGAACAAGCCACA